rnacentral:rRNA from 1 species
AUUGAACGCUGGCGGAAUGCUUUACACAUGCAAGUCGAGCGGCAGCGCGGGGCAACCUGGCGGCGAGCGGCGAACGGGUGAGUAAUGUAUCGGAACGUGCCCUGUCGUGGGGGAUAGCCCGGUGAAAACCGGAUUAAUACCUCAUAGUUCUUUUGGCCCGCAUGGGGCGAUAGAUAAAGCUCCGGAGGUUAAAGAUGGGCAUGCGUGGCAUUAGCUAGUUGGUAAGGUAACGGCUUACCAAGGCUACGAUGUCUAGGGGUUCUGAGAGGAUGAUCCCCCACACUGGUACUGAGACACGGACCAGACUCCUACGGGAGGCAGCAGUGAGGAAUAUUGGUCAAUGGGCGCAAGCCUGAACCAGCCAUCCCGCGUGAAGGAUGAAGGCCCUAUGGGUCGUAAACUUCUUUUAUACACCAAGAAAAAUCCCCACGUGUGGGGACCCGACGGUAGUGUAUGAAUAAGCAUCGGCUAACUCCGUGCCAGCAGCCGCGGUAA